CGGGGCGUGGCUCAGCCUGGUAGAGCGCUCGGUUCGGGGCCGAGAGGCCGGUGGUUCGAAUCCACUCGCCCCGA
rnacentral:tRNA from 1 species